GAUGAAGAACGCAGCGAAAUGCGAUAAGUAAUGUGAAUUGCAGAAUUCAGUGAAUCAUCGAAUCUUUGAACGCACAUUGCGCCCGCCAGUAUUCUGGCGGGCAUGCCUGUUCGAGCGUCAUUUCAACCCUCAAGCCCAGCUUGGUGUUGGGGAUCGGCACAGGCGCCCUCGGGCGCCCGCCGUCCCCUAAAUCUAGUGGCGGUCCCGCUGCAGCCUCCUCUGCGUAGUAGUUUUCUCCUCGCAAGGGCAGCUCGGUGGCGACCUCGCCGUAAAACCCCCAACUUCUGAAAGGUUGACCUCGAAUCAGGUAGGAAUACCCGCAGAACUUAAGCAUAUCAAUAAGCGGAGGA
rnacentral:misc_RNA from 1 species